rnacentral:rRNA from 1 species
UACAGAGGUCCCAAGCGUUGUUCGGAUUCACUGGGCGUAAAGGGUGUGUAGGCUGCGUGUUAAGUCAGAUGUGAAAUCCCGGGGCUCAACCUCGGAACUGCAUCCGAUACUGGCAUGCUAGAGAAUUGGAGAGGAGUCUAGAAUUCACGGUGUAGCAGUGAAAUGCGUAGAUAUCGUGAGGAAUACCAAGUGCGAAGGCAGGACUCUGGACAUUUUCUGACGCUGAGACACGAAGGCUAGGGGAGCAAACGGG